UAAAAAGUAUUGAUAGAGAGAAAGAUAUCUAAACUUUAACUACAGAGAGCCAGGUUUGCUGAGAACUGGUGUUAAUGAAGAUAUGUAAUGAUCACUCUUGAACUACCUGAUUGAAAGGGUUCAUCCAAGUAGAUUAGGUCGGGUGCUACCGUUAUAUAGCUAAGGUUCAAGGAAUAAUUCUUCGACCUGAAUGGAGAGUCAAUUAGUUUUUAAUUGAAACUAGGGUGGUACCGCGAGAAUAGUCUCUCGUCCCUAAG
rnacentral:ncRNA from 1 species